UACGGAGGGUGCAAGCGUUAUCCGGGUUCACUGGGUUUAAAGGGUGCGUAGGUGGGCAGGUAAGUCAGUGGUGAAAUCUCCGAGCUUAACUCGGAAACUGCCGUUGAUACUAUUUGUCUUGAAUAUUGUGGAGGUAAGCGGAAUAUGUCAUGUAGCGGUGAAAUGCUUAGAUAUGACAUAGAACACCAAUUGCGAAGGCAGCUUACUAAAGUAUGAUUGACGCUGAGGCACGAAAGCGUGGGGAUCAAACAGG
rnacentral:rRNA from 1 species